rnacentral:rRNA from 1 species
UACGUAGGGUGCAAGCGUUUAAUCGGAAUUACUGGGCGUAAAGCGUGCGCAGGCGGCUAUGCAAGACAGAUGUGAAAUCCCCGGGCUCAACCUGGGAACUGCAUUUGUGACUGCAUAGCUAGAGUACGGUAGAGGGGGAUGGAAUUCCGCGUGUAGCAGUGAAAUGCGUAGAUAUGCGGAGGAACACCGAUGGCGAAGGCAAUCCCCUGGACCUGUACUGACGCUCAUGCACGAAAGGCGUGGGGAGCAAACAGG